GCACGUGGGAACUCUUUCGGGGUGGGAGAAAAUCCGCGCAGCUGAAGCCCGAGGCCUCACCUUAAUGAUGGUGCGCCCGUCGCCAUGGUGACCACGGCUGUAAUUUCCUAAUAAAAUGAGCAUUUAAGAGGAGAUCAAGAGUGAAAAUGCUAGCGAUUCCCCUCCGAGACCCUCCGUUUACCUCGGUGCAACAGCUGAUUGAUGCGAGACGACAGCUGCAGGUCACAUGUGUCAUUUCCCUCGUAGUGCCACCGCUAAUGCACUGAAUGCAGCUGUAAUGAGGAUAGCAACAGGCGCUGAUCUCUGCGGCUCACAGCAGACGAGAUGAAACGAGCAGCAGCGGCCUUAAGCUUUCAUGAAAGAGAGACUGCGGUGAGAGAGAUUCAUGCCACUUCAUCAAAGCAAUUACACUACUUCAAAACUAUUUACAACACUUUUUGGUCUGAGGUCCAAGACCACCAACUAUUUAAGACAUUUAGCUGCCUGAAACCAAAUGAGAGGCAGUUGUGUGGAAAAGAAAAUGUUCCAAUUACAAUAUAAAUACUGUAAAAUAUUUAAGGAA